rnacentral:tRNA from 1 species
GCACCCUCUAGGGGCUACUAAGAAUCUCGCUAAUACUGACUCUUAAUCAGUAGGUUGAUGGUUCGAGUCCAUCGCGGGGCA